CUUUCAGUCUAAAUUCAUCCCUCCAAAUAACUACCUCUGGCAAAGAAACAAAAAUUUAUAAAGCACUCCCUUUUACUGUUACCUUCCAUCCAUUUUCUU